CUGGGACACUGGGUGACUGACAGCUGUCCUUCAUGACAACAGAAGCCACAGAAAUCCUCCUCAUCAAAAACAUGACUUUGAUCUCUGUCCUCAUCUGGACUCUCCUCUGCUGCUGCUUCACAGAGUCCAGAGGUCAGGUCACAGUGACUCAGCCUGGAGCAGUGAGCUCUGCUGUGGGAGGCUCCGUCACCAUCACAUGUAGGACCAGUCAGGAUGUUUAUAGCUCUAACCACUUAGCCUGGUACCAACAGAGAGAUGGAGAAACUCCGAAACUGCUCAUAUACUAUACCAGCACUCGAGCAUCAGGGAUUCCAGGUCGUUUUACAGGCAGUGGAUCAAAGUCUGACUUCACUCUGACCAUCAGUGGAGUCCAGACUGAAGAUGCAGCAGUUUACUACUGUCAGAGUGAACACUACAUCAACAGUCAAGCUGUGUUCACACAGUGAAAAAGCGUUGUACAAAAACCUCUCUCAGUCAGACUGAA